rnacentral:rRNA from 1 species
UACGGGGGAUGCAAGCGUUGUCCGGAAUUAUUGGGCGUAAAGAGCUCGUAGGCGGUCAGUCGCGUCUGCUGUGAAAACUCGGGGCUUAACUCCGGGCCUGCAGUGGGUACGGGCUGACUAGAGUUCGGUAGGGGAGACUGGAAUUCCUGGUGUAGCGGUGAAAUGCGCAGAUAUCAGGAGGAACACCGGUGGCGAAGGCGGGUCUCUGGGCCGAUACUGACGCUGAGGAGCGAAAGCGUGGGGAGCGAACAGG